rnacentral:tRNA from 1 species
GUGGGUAUAGCUCUAGUGGUAGAGUGCAUGCCUAGCAUGCAGGAGGUCCUGGGUUCAAUCCCCAGCAUCUCCA